rnacentral:rRNA from 1 species
AGCAGCCGCGGUAAUUCCAGCUCCAAUAGCGUAUAUUAAAGUUGUUGCAGUUAAAAAGCUCGUAGUUGAAUUUCGGGGUCAGUAGGUUGGUCGUGCCACGGGUAUGAACUGGUCUCACUGAUUCCUCCUUCCUGAUGAACCGUAAUGCCAUUAAUUUGGUGUUGCGGGGAGACUGGACUGUUACUUUGAAAAAAUUAGAGUGUUUAAAGCAGGCUAACGCUUGAAUACAUUAGCAUGGAAUAAUGAAAUAGGACGUUCGGUCUUAUUUUGUUGGUUUCUAAGAUUGACGUAAUGAUUAAUAGGGAUAGUUGGGGGCAUUAGUAUUCAAUUGUCAGAGGUGAAAUUCUUGGAUUUAUUGAAGACUAACUACUGCGAAAGCAUUUGCCAAGGAUGUUUUCAUUAAUCAAGAACGAAAGUUAGGGAUCGAAGACGAUCAGAUACCGUCGUAGU